AUAGUACCUUCUCAAAGAUAUCGCUUGAAUACCUUCUUCGCUUUUGCGAAGAAGCAAAGCUCUCACAAAGGGGAAUCACUACUCAUACUGAUAUGUAAUUGAUCUGUCAAAUCGUCUAACUUCUCAAUGUUUACGUUCGGCGCUAAAACAACGGUCCGCGAAACCGCGUUUACAACGUUUACCGCGACGACGAAACGAACCAAGAUUGUGUUCGAUACCGAAAUGUUUCCGCGAUUUACAGGUGCGUGAUCGAAUUUUAAUCAUUUGCCGGUCUGCUUCCAUCGAACUGUUCGGAGGAUCGGCCCGACGAAGAACUUUCAGCGCGAAUGUUCAAUUAGGAUGUUUCCAAGUGAGGUUUCAGCAACAUUCGUGCUUUGUUUUCGCCCGCGUCCGGACGGAUGAAUGAUUCUACUUUGAUCGUUCACCGAAUAUGCUGCCUGCGAUGGGAAGUAAAAACCGCCAACUCGUUCUUCGAGUUGGUCCCGAUCGAGGGUGGGGAGGAUACAGCAGAGCACAUCAACAACCUGCCGUUGAGGCUGGGAAAUGUCCGCUCAAAACAGCCCAAAUUAAUUAAUUAUCCUCAGGAAUUAGACCCGAGAAAGUGAAGUGUAUUACUCUCGCUGAUUUAUUCAGGAGAAAAGUGAAUAAAGAAUUCUGUUUGUGUGUUUACAUUUUUUUGGAAAAGAGUUUCCAAACAGUAAAUGGGUGGUAGUGCCUCGGAUGUUUACAAUCAUUAUGCGUGAUAAUGAAUUGUGUUUUAAAUCAUUACUUCGGUUACUGAGGCGAGGGAUUGGAAAUUAUCGUUUCUAGCGAAUUCGCGUUGUUUCACGGACUUGUAUUCGAGUUUGUAUAUUUCGCGGAGGAAUUUUGGCUAGUGCGCGGUGCUUUUUCUGGUGGAAUUAUACGGAAUUCCGUACCAACGACCACGAUGGCCGCAUAUCUGGAUUUUAUUUCUCGGAAGUCGAUCGAUUCGACAUCUCUUUGGAUUUCACUUCGAUAGUGUUUCUCAACGAGUCUGAUACGGGUCAGCAAAACUUAUUGAUUAAUUGCAUGAAAUCAAUUAAAAUUUGAUAUUCUACGCGACGAUUGCAAUCAAUCGAAUUGAAUUAAAAAGGAAAAAACUAAACGACGGUUCACACGCAUUUGAAUACCUAUAAUUUGUUCUCGCGUUUCCUAAUAAUUUGUUAUUCUAGGGGUGGCUUCAGCCAGGUGAGGAUAAAGAAUCCAAAUUUGGCUAUCAGAAUUCUAUCAAGUUUCUUCGUUAGGAGAACGAAGCUAGUUAAUUAAAAAUAGGGCACUAUUUUUCUCGCCCUCCCCAGGGGAAAAUGAAAGAUUCAAGUCAUUUUUAGGUGGGCGCCAAUUGAAACUUGCCUGCUCAGGGAUUAAGGAUCUCGGGGUCGUUUUAUGCGGACUUAUCUCUCAAUUCCGUAGCUGAGGACUGUCGUAUCAAGCAGGAGCACAAUAUUUAUUGUCUUACCCAAUGGUGUUUCACUAAAUGAUGCUCAUAGCUGUAGAUAACAUGAAAAACAUUGAAAUCUA